rnacentral:rRNA from 1 species
GAUGAACGCUGGCGGCGUGCCUAAUACAUGCAAGUCGAGCGAACGGACGAGAAGCUUGCUUCUCUGAUGUUAGCGGCGGACGGGUGAGUAACACGUGGAUAACCUACCUAUAAGACUGGGAUAACUUCGGGAAACCGGAGCUAAUACCGGAUAAUAUUUUGAACCGCAUGGUUCAAAAGUGAAAGACGGUCUUGCUGUCACUUAUAGAUGGAUCCGCGCUGCAUUAGCUAGUUGGUAAGGUAACGGCUUACCAAGGCAACGAUGCAUAGCCGACCUGAGAGGGUGAUCGGCCACACUGGAACUGAGACACGGUCCAGCCUCCUACGGGAGGCAGCAGUAGGGAAUCUUCCGCAAUGGCGAAAGCCUGACGGAGCAACGCCGCGUGAGUGAUGAAGGUCUUCGGAUCGUAAAACUCUGUUAUUAGGGAAGAACAUAUGUGUAAGUAACUGUGCACAUCUUGACGGUACCUAAUCAGAAAGCCACGGCUAACUACGUG